GGCUUUAUAGUCAAUGAUGAUAUCAGACUGCAAUUCUGAAGGGGCAAAUUUAAUUUGCUAAGGCUU
rnacentral:tRNA from 1 species